AUUGAACGCUGGCGGCAUGCCUUACACAUGCAAGUCGAACGGCAUCGCGGGAAAGCCUGCUUUCCUGGCGGCGAGUGGCGAACGGGUGAGUAACACAUCGGAACGUACCGGCUAGUGGGGGAUAACCCGUCGAAAGACGGGCUAAUACCGCAUACGCUCUUCGGAGGAAAGCAGGGGACCUUUGGGCCUUGCGCUAGUCGAGCGGCCGAUGUCCGAUUAGCUAGUUGGUGGGGUAAAGGCCUACCAAGGCGACGAUCGGUAGCGGGUCUGAGAGGACGAUCCGCCACACUGGGACUGAGACACGGCCCAGACUCCUACGGGAGGCAGCAGUGGGGAAUCUUGGACAAUGGGGGCAACCCUGAUCCAGCAAUGCCGCGUGGGUGAAGAAGGCCUUCGGGUUGUAAAGCCCUUUCGGCAGGGAAGAAAUCGGCGGGGCGAAUAACCCUGCUGGAUGACGGUACCUGCAGAAGAAGCACCGGCUAACUACGUG
rnacentral:rRNA from 1 species